UAAAACGUCACUUUAUUGCUCGU
rnacentral:miRNA from 1 species